GGUUCUAUGGUGUAAUGGUUAGCACUUUGGACUUUGAAUCAAGUGAUCAGAGUUCAAAUUUCGGUAGAACCU
rfam:Salmo salar isolate Sally breed double haploid chromosome ssa08, whole genome shotgun sequence.